GGCGGAAUGGCCGAGCGGUCUAAGGCGCUAGAAUCAGGUUUCAACUAAUCUAGUCCGAAAGGGCGUGGGUUCAAAUCCCACUUCCGUCA
rfam:Laetiporus sulphureus 93-53 unplaced genomic scaffold LAESTscaffold_32, whole genome shotgun sequence.